UGGGUAUUUCCCUCAAUCCUUUCAAAUCUGAAAAACUAUUCAAAACAUAUCCACCUCUUUCAUUUUAAUACAUUCUCUUCUUCAGAUUCAUAUUUUUGUUCUCUCUCCAUAAGAAACCAAACCUUGUCCUUCCUGCUUCCUUGUUCGCUUUCAACAUCCUUUCACUAAGGUAAUCUACUAUUUUUCCAGAAACCCUUUAUGUUGUAGUUGUUGUCUUUCAUUUCUUGAAAGCACAAUUUAUGCGAUGAACAACGAUUCUGCAACAGAUCCGCAACACCAUAACCAUAACAAUUGCAGUAGCAAGAGUCAACGCAACAACGUCAAAUGAUUUCCAGAAAGAAGAACAGAGAAUGGAGCAGAUUAGAAACGUAAGAGAAAGCAUAGCGUACCGGAACGAGCUUUAUGUUGGAUAAUUUCUGGAGACUCUCUCGCUUCUGACGAUAUUCUUUUUCAAUCUUUUUCUUUUCUGUUUGUUGUCAUUCAAAGUAUUUUUGUUGUCAUUAGUGUUUGGAUGUUUAGCUUCUAUCAUCAAUUUUGUGUUUGUAUGAUUGUAGUUAUUUCGGCUUCGUUAGUUUAGUCAUGACUGGGUUUGUUUUUCUGAAAGCAGAAACAUGAUAAGAAUAAAGAUUUGAAAUGAUGUGUUUGAGGUGGACUACCCCCUCUUUACUUUGCUUAGGGUUUUUUUUGCUUCAAUAUUGUUAUUGGUCUUGGGGCAUUGGAUGAAAUGAUAAAGUUCAUAUUUUUACUCUGGUUUACCCUUCAUGUUCUUCCUUUUGUUACCAUUUACAAUUUGAGGAUGAAUGUGAACUGCUCGGAGUGGUGUCGAAGUGUGUGGUGCAGUUUCGUCUGCGAAGCUAUGGGUUUCGUCACCGAAGUUUGUCAUGUCUGUCCCUUUCUUAAUCUGAAUCUAAUUUUGAAAUAUAUUUGGUUGUUAGUUUCAUUUAAUUUUUCGUUCUGGUUAUUUGCUCUGAAUAUAUUACUUUGAAUAUGGAAGGAGAAAAUUUUUCAUUUGAUAUGUAUGUAUAAUCUUUAAUUUUCCUCUGAAUAUAUUGCUUUGAAUCUGGAACGAGAAAAUUCUGUCAUUUGAUAACAACAAGCUCUUAAAUGAUAUGAUGUGCUUCAAGAUUUGGGCGUGAGGAAUAAUUAUCAAGUUUGAUCUACUUAUCUAAUGGUGAUUAGAACUGUAAAAUUGUUGUAGUUUUUUUCAAUAUAUUACAAAUUCAUUAGUUUUGUCUGAGUACUUUAACAAAUGAUAUUGUGUGAAAUCCCUAUGUUCUGUUGUGGAUUCUCAUUAACAUUAGCAUCACUUCCUUAUAUUUCCAUCUUGCAAGUUGAUUAAGAAAUCAAUAUAUGUUUCUCUUUCAUAUUUGUUGGGUGUUUUAUCGUUAAUUUACAUAAUUAUAACUGAAUGACUACAUUUUUGUUAGUUUGCCUCUACAAGAGGAAGAUGAACUGAAUGAGAACUUGCAGAGCUAGAUGAGGAAGGCUCAGUAUGGAAGACAACAUGCUCAAGAGCAUUGUUGCAAAAAGAGCACGAAGAAUGGCAUUCUGUCUGACAUAUUGAAAUGUUCAGGUGACAAUAGGAAGCACACGAGAGAAUGUGUAUUGAAUACUCUAGAUUCUUGGCUAGCAGCGGUUCAUCUUGGUAAAAUGGUCACCACAUGGAUGUCUUUUGGAAUCCUAACUAUCUUAUCAGGAAGAGUUACUUAGGUAUUCUUAUGUAUUUGGAGCAUGAGCAAUAAAGUUUCGAAGACAGGGCUUCAAACGCGCGAUUUUGAGCAACGGAACCAACUCGUCGACGAAUAAAGCUCAAAAAUAAAAAAAAUAAUAAAUCAUCAAUUUGGUUGAUAUUUUUUCAUUGGUAGACAGGAAAUUGAAUAAGCUUUCCAACGCUUCGAACCGGACGCAAAUCAGAGUUACGGUUAUCAAGUUAUGACAUUUUUACUAAAGCUGUUUUUUUCAUGACAGCAUAAUUGUUAAAUAGGGGCAAAAACACAUUUUUUUAGGUUAUGGUUUUGGGGUAUUUGUUCCAAAUCCAUUAAACCUUCAUUUUUUGGUCUAGAUAGCUUAGAAAACACCAUUGGAGGUUGUAAUCGGAUGAUCCGGAGUCAAAGCUUCUUUGCUCGUGAUUGACACCGCGAAAGAUUUGGUUUUCUUCUCUUCCUUUUCUCUUUGUAACCAUUUUUGUUUGGUUUGUUUGUAAGUUUACUCUAAACCUAUGUAUAUUUGUUACUCUAUUGUUGUAUAAAGUUUUCUUUACAAAUCUUAAUCGGUGUUUCCUUAAUCUUUUUGCUUAAAUGCUUUGGAUUUGUGUUGUUGUAGAAAUAUACAUCACAAAUCUUGAUUAGGGGGAUAUCUGUUAGCUUU